UACGGAGGGUGCGAGCGUUGCUCGGAAUCAUUGGGCGUAAAGCGCGCGUAGGCGGCCCGGUAAGUCCGUUGUGAAAGUCAAAGGCUCAACCUUUGAACGCCGAUGGAUACUGCCGGGCUAGAGUCCGGAAGAGGCGAGUGGAAUUCCUGGUGUAGCGGUGGAAUGCGCAGAUAUCAGGAGGAACACCAAUAGCGAAGGCAGCUCGCUGGGACGGUACUGACGCUGAGGCGCGAAAGCGUGGGGAGCGAACAGG
rnacentral:rRNA from 1 species